rnacentral:rRNA from 1 species
CCCUUAGAUGUUCUGGGCCGCACGCGUGCUACACUGAGUGGAUCAGCGGGUCAGGUUGCGCGAAAGUGUUUCCUAAUCUUGAAAUCCGCUCGUGAUGGGGAUCGACGGUUGCAAUUUUCCGUCAUGAACGAGGAAUACCUUGUAAGCGCGGGUCAUCAUCCCGCGCUGAAUACGUCCCUGCCCUUUGUACACACCGCCCGUCGCUCCUACCGAUUGAGUGGUCCGGUGAGGCUUUGGGAUCUGAGCAAAGAGAGCGUUUCGCUCGUUUUGCCCGGAAAACUCAGUCGAACCUUAUCAUUUAGAGGAAGGAGAAGUCGUAACA